CACGAUUUUAUGAGUUGAAAAUUUUAUGAGUUGAAGAAGUUGAAAAAAAGUCUGAUAAUAACUGAUAAUGCAAAAUGGCAGGAUCAGCCUUAAGAAGGUUGAUGGCAGAAUACAAGCGUUAGUUUCAGAUAUGUUUAUGAAUAUCUCAUUUGGUCUUCAAUCAACAGAGCUUGUUGUUCGGGUGUCGGUUUGGCAUAAAAGUUUUCGAGAUAUUUCUGCCACACAACCAGUUCGGCUAUAGACAAAGUUGUUUCGGCCACAUCCUUCUUAUUGUUCUAAGGGUUCAUAAUAUCAAAUUGACUAAUUUGACCUUUUUAGUAAUAUGAGGCAGGCAUUACCUGUAAAUGGGGACAAAGUCUGUAUGGUUUAUUUUUUUGUAACUUAAAUAUUUGUUAAAAAAAAGAAACGGAAAUACUGUAACGUUUCCGAUUUUGGUUCUAUUGUUAGGGAUUUUAGUUGUGACGUUACUUAAGUUAUGACCUCAUAUGCAAUGUAAACAAAUAAACACUAUAAUGAGGUAACGUUUUUUCAUAUCAAGGAAUUAUUAAAAAUGAAAUUGGUAUUGUGUUCCUUCCUAUUUUAUACUAGACUGAUAAAUAUAUAUUUUACUCAAAGUUUCAUACAAACGAGACCGAAGAAAGGAAGUACAUUGUAGAUUUCUGCACAGAUGCGGGAAUUCAAAACAUGACAUCAAAAAAAGUGAAAGAUUUUGAGUUCAUUAGCACAAUGAAAUUUUCAGGAAAAUUUUCCCAAUUUUUAAAAAAAAAAUUUUUUAUUGAUUUUUCUACUGUUUUUGGGGACUUUGUCCCCAUAUUAACACACGGGUUUGUUACAAUUGCCGUGUUUUCUAUCCAUACAAACCCCUAAAAAACAGGGGUUUGUAUGGAUAGAAAACCCAACAAUUGUAACAAACCCAGGGCUGUGAUUAACAUACAGUAGCAUUGACAAAAAAAACAUGAGUUCAUUGUCUAGUGGUUAAGUCAAGACCAAUUGCUUCAGUGCUGAAGGUCCCAAGUUUGAUUCCCACGAAAAAUAUCAGUACAUCAGAAUGGUAAUUUUCAUACUCUCCCACACAUCUCUGGUACCCAGACCGGAGUUUAAACUAGAACAGGUACUUUUGGAGCCUCAGUUGGUCAAAGUUGCCCCCUACUUUGACAUGGAGAUCAAUCUUCUGAUAUCUCUCUUGUUUGUUUGUUUCCACCGAGUGGCCCAGUGGUCUUCUCCGAGUACUUCUGCUUCCUCCACCCCAAUAACAGACUUCCCAGUGUCCUAGGACUCCUUUUCUGUUGGGUUGGGAUUGAAUGUCCUUGUAAAAAUAAUUGUAGUAUAUAUAUACGCUAGUGACUCAUCUCCAUUUAUCCCGAUAGGGAGUGCACAUGGAUGCCACUGUACCAUCGCAUCUUUCAAGGGGUUCUUUGAAUAACUGAGGCAUUAACCACUACAUACAUACACAUAUAUUAUAAUAUAUAUUGUCAUAUUAACCUACACACUGCUAUAGGUGCCGUUCUGGCUUCUGCCAACUUUUCAUGAAGCAAAUGCAUGACAUUUGGUAGGCACUCUGUCCCCUAAAGUAACGUCGUAAUUUUGCGAUCUGCCGUCAUACAAUAUUUCGUUUUGUAUUGCCACUUGUUAUCGUAAUUGCAAAUAGAAUUACUGGGUUGAGUUAGAAAUAAAUUAGAUGCAAAAGUAAAUGAAUAUUUAAAGAAUUUUUACAUGGUUUUAUAUUUAUUGAUACACAAUAAAUGAAAUUUGCGUCCUGUCAAACAAAACGGCAAUUUUUAGACGACGUUACACUUUUCGUUUAUUUUAUCGGAAUAGACUUUAUUUUAUUAAGCUGGCGCGCCAUCUAUAAACAACGGAUAUUUAUAGCAGAAGACUCAUUGUGAUGGAAAAGUUUCAGAGAUUGUACUGUCUGAUGCUCCUAUCGUUCGGUAGGUAAAUACAUUAGCCCUGUACGUUUAAAAUGUAAAAUGUUAUCUUUCUCUUGAAAACGUACGUAAAUAAAUUGGAGCUUUUCAGAGAACAUACUUGAGAACUUCGUUGAAAUGAUCCCAAAUUUUUAGCUUGAUCUGGCUUUCUAAUGCACAGCGCGAACCAGGCAAACUAUAGAUGUUGAUGCUUUUUACGGAAUUAGUCUACAACGUCACGUUGUGCUUUGUAACGUUUCCUCAUUUGACGAUUUGUGUAAUUCCGUGAAAAUGAAAGGCAUUUGUGUUGGCCAAAAAAUGUAAACAAUCAUCGCAAAAAGUAUGGCAGCCCGGCACCAAAGAAGCCGUGUAUGUUUGAUAUGUAUUACUUUGAAUUGUUAAAAGUAAUAAAGAAAUAUCUACGCCAAAUUAAAACAGCAUACUCUAUGAGUCUAUGUAAUAUCUGAUUGAAACGGAGACGGCCGAGUUGUUUGUCAGACUGUCUAUUUAGGGUCUGUCUAUUUAUAUCCCGAGAAACUAUAGUCUAUUUCUUAUUUAACUUUCACUUUACGAGUCUUUAUCGGGGAUGUGUGUUAUUUUUACGAGAAUCACCAAAGAGUUGAGACAGUGAAUGUUGGACCUCAUACUACAACACACUACAGUUAAAUAUGCCACCUUCAAUUUUUUGCUAUAUAAUUAGGGGCGGAUCCAGCCAUUUUAAAAAGGGGGGUUCCGAACCCAGAGUAAAGGGGGGGGGGGGGUGAAUCCAACUAUAUGCUCCCAUUCAAAUGCAUUGAUCGUCAAACAAAGGGGGUUCCAACCCCUGACCCCCCCCUUUGGAUGCGCCACUGAUAAUGCAGAAAGAACUACCAAAAGAAAUAUAUAAAAAAAUAUUUUGAAGGCAUUUUUUUUCUUCAAGAAAACAUCAUCAGACUCAGAUUUAACACAGCUGUAUUUGUUUAAUACAUUCGUUUUCAUGAAGUGUCCUCCUUUUUGAUAAAAUAAACAAGUAUUUGUUUAUCCUUAUAGAAAUUAGAUGAAUUGCUAAGAUUAAAGAAUAUAUUUUAAAAACAUGUGCACUUUUAAAAAGAGACCAGAAAAAACAACUAAAUUCAAAAAAAGACCAAAUAAACAAAGAUACUGCUACAGAAAAAAAUACUUCAUUUAAUGUAUAAUGAUACACUAAUGAUUUGUCAAUAAGCCAGUAAUUAAUGGUCGUAUGAUUAUUAGACAUGAAAAGCAACCCAACAAAUAUAUAUAGCUCUUAGCAAGUGAAAACAAAGGCCAAGUUUUAAUAUGUUAUAACAAGAAAAAGUGGGCUUUUAGAUUUUAAAUUUUUUAUUACAUAUGCUAUCAAUCUAAUCUUGAGAAAAAAUUAUUAUAAUUUCUGUUUAGAUUUAAUACCAGCUGCUGUACAAAACGCACAAGAAUUAAGAAAAUAUGAUGAUGCUAUUUGAUUAAGUAAUACUAUAUGCUUAUAUAAAUAUUUUUGUCAAUACAUGUAUCAAAUAUUUACUAUAUUAAAAGCAAGUCCCCGAGUGCAAAAAACACAACAUUUAAAGGUGUCAAAUUUUUAAUUAUUCUGUCACAUGUGUGAUUUAUGUCAAUGGUUAAUUGGUGUUUAAUGCCACUUUCAGCAUUAUGUACUAUUUCGUAGUAGUUGGUUUUUAUUGGUUGAGUGAGAAAAUAAUGCUUGAAGAGAACCAAGAUCCAAGAUAGUAAAAUUGACAGGCUAACUAAGUCAAUUAAGAUUAUAGUCAAACUGAAAGGCUUUGAAAUUCACAACCUUUGUGUUGACAGGAUAGUGAUAGAGAAGUUAUUUACUUAAGACCAUUUGGCUACUGAAACCAAUUGCAAUGAAACAGUUACACAACAAUGUGUCAUAGAAAAACAUGCAGUCUUUAUCCAUAGCACAAGUUAAAUAAAAAAUUGCUGAGUUUCCGUUUUCUUACUUUAAUUUGCCGCAAACAAAUGUUAUAAAACGAAUAGGUAUACAAUGCCUAUUACCACAAAAACCAGAUCAUGUUCAAAAUUGGGUGGCGUCACUUUUACCAUUCAUGACUUAUGUUCUUUUUUAAAUGAAGCAAUUACUUAAUCUGUUGCUUUAAUUCUCUUCCUCUUGUUUGCUUCAACUAAAUGUUAUGAAAUUUAUACACAAUGCUUAUAAUUACAUAAGAGCCUUAAUGAAAUUAAUCCUGCAUCUGUAUUUGGAAGUUGACUGCCUCUGGUGCAUAUUGUUACAGGCCGGGUAUUUGCGGCCCAAAAACACAUUCUCAAUUUAUUAAACCAUGUUCAUUUACAAGAACAGCCUAGUAUAGAAAAACCUCUGAAAUCGCCUUCAAUAUAUUUUUCUAAAUCAACUUUAAAUUAAUUUGAACAAUUGACUAAAUUGAAGAAAGCGGGGGUGUUUUGUUUACAAUGUAUACUGAUCCCCAAUUUGAAAAAAAAACUAUUCUCAAUGCUCAGAUUUUUUCUUUUUUUCCCCCAUUUCCAUUACAAUAGAGUAGUGGUAUAUAGAAUAAAAAUAAAAAUAAUCUGAUUAAUCGUGUCAAAAAACUAAAUAAAUUUGUUUGUGCUUUGCACGUACAAUAUUUUUGACUAAGAAAAAAAACCAAGAAUUUAUAUGCCCCACUUACGAUAGUAGAGGGGUAUUAUGUUUUCUGAUCUGAUCGUCCGUUUGAUAGAUUGUCUGUGUGUCCCUUUUCAUGUUUAAGUUUUUGGUCAAGGUAGUUUUUGAUGAAAUUGAGGUCCAAUCAAUUUGAAAUAUAUAGUUCAAAUGUUCCCUAUGAUAUGACUUUCUAAUUUUAAUGCCAUAUUAGAUGUUUGACCCCAAUUUCACGGUCCACAGUCACUGAACAUACAUGUAGAAAAUGAUAGUGUGAGUGAGGUAUCCAUGUACUUAUUGACACAUUCUUGUUAGAUUUGUAUUGUUUAAUUACUGGUGUAUUAUAUCAUUUAACCCAUCAUUGAUUUUUUUCUUCUAUUUUUAUAUGGUUAUUUUUGUGACCUGCAUGUAUAUGAGAACACACACAAUCAUGCACAUAAAAAAACCUCAUAUACAUUUUUGAAAGUCAUUUGAUACAUAUGAAUUAUUUCAAUUGAGUAUUUUUUUUUAUUUUUUUGAAGUAGAAUGGAGAAUUAUCCUUACCUAGUUGACCAGGCUCUACUGAUAUGAUAGAUAUGCCGAUGUCUAACUUGGAGAUCUUGAUUAGGUUGGGAAAUGUAUCAGGUAGGUGGUUAUUCAUACAUAAUAUAUAUCAUGAAACAAAUAUGUCAUCGAAAAAACAUUGAAAUUAGUCAUACAUGUAUGCUGUUGAGACAGUAACCAAACAACAUGUUCAUAUAAUCAAAAUUAAAAACAAUUUGAUAGUAAUAUUUUAAAAAAAUUACUUUAAAUGGCCUUAACAAUUACUAAGUAGAUGUAUUCAUGUAUGUUGUAGAAUUAUACUGAAAGUAUUUACUAGUUCAUUUGACUGGCAAAAAAAUGAUCAAUAUUUCAGGUUUUACAAAACAGACUAGACAAAUUGCAAGAUAGCAAUUAUGGAAGAGUCACAGUUGAAAAAACAUAAAAUCUAUGAAAACAGCUAACAGCUACUCAUAACAUUUUUUUAAUCCUUUUGAUAUUUGUUGUCUUGAUUUUAAACUACCAGUAAGCUUUAUAUAUUUAAAUAUGGAAACUCCAACAGCACACACUAAUUUCAACAAUUUUAUUUUUUGGUAUUUUGUGUUUUUUCAGAUCAUGUAGAUGUAGAAGUAGAAGAAACAGCAGUGAAAAAAGAAUGAGAGUCAUCAUUUUAAUAAACAUUUCGCUUGAAAUUGAAAUAAAUCUAUUUUUUUCUUCAUUA
rnacentral:lncRNA from 1 species